ensembl:lncRNA
GCAAAGCCUCCUACCCCCUUGUCAAGUCUAGUGUAGCCAUUGUAAAGCCUCCUACCCCCUUGAGUCUAGUCUAGUGUAGCCAAUGUAAAGCCUCCUACCCCCUUGGGUCUAGUGUAGCCAAUGUAAAGCCUCCUACCCCCUUGGGUCUAGUGUAGCCAAUGUAAAGCCUCCUACCCCUUUGGGUCUAGUGUAGCCAAUGUAAAGCCUCCUACCCCCUUGGGUCUAGUGUAGCCAAUCCAAUGUAAAGCCUCCUACCCCCUUGGGUCUAGUGUAGCCAAUGAAAAGCCUCCUAUCCCCUUGAGUCUAGUGUAGCCUAUACUACACUCUUAGAAAAAAAGGUGCUAUCUACAACCGAAAAGGGUUCUUCGGCUGUCCCCAUAGGAGAACCCUUUUUGGUUCCAUGUGGUACCCUUUCCACAGAAGGUUUUACCAGGAACCAAAAAGGGUUCUCCUAUGGGGACUUUUUUGGAACAGUUUUUUCUAAGAGUUUACCUACCUGUGUAGCCUACAGAUCGUACAGGCUAGCACUACCGACUCCUACCCUCUAUAGCAGGGGUGGGCAAACUUUUUGGCUCGAGGGCCACAUCGGGAUUUUGAAAUUCAAUGGGGGGGAGCAUUUUUUGGGAGAUCAAUUUUGUUAAAAUCAAUUUGCGGGAGCCUCUCGAGUGGCGCAGCAGUCUAAGGUACUUCAUCGCAGUCUUUGAGGCGUCACUAGAGACCUGGGUUCGAUCCCAGGCUGUGUCACAGCUGGCCAGUUCCUGGGAGACCCAUGAGGCGGCACACAAUUGGCCCAGCGUCAUCCAGGUUAGGAGAGGGUUUGACAGGCCAAGAUUAACAUUUCCCAUCGCGCUCUAGUUACUCCUGUGGUGGGCCGGGCACAUGGCCCCUGACACGGUUGCCAGGUGUACGGUGUAUACAGAACAUUGGUGCGGCUGGCUUCCGGGUUAAGCGGGCGUUGUGUCAAGAAGCAGUGUGGCUUGGCUGGUUCGUGUUUCGUGCGACGCACAACUCUCAACCUUCGCCUCUCCAUAUGGGAGUUGCAGCGAUGGGACAAAACUACCUACCAAUUGGAAACCAUGAAAUUGGGGCGAAAUAAACAGGUAAUGUCUACAGGCUUCUACUCUCUACAGGCUUCUACAGGCUUCUACC